UCCCGCCAUUUUCUUGUUUGCUUCUAAUCGAACGCACGUACUUUCCGCGUUCUUCAAAUGCCAAUUGUUUGAUGUCGAAAAUAGUCGCGAAUGGUCGCAUUAAUCUUAACAUAAAGUAAGAGUAGAUCGCGAAUCACAUCAUUAAUGAGAUUUGAAGAGACUCAUACAGCACAGAAGACUGCAAAAAUAUUGUUGCAACAUUGCUGCAACGUUGCAACAAUAUUGUUGCAAGUUUUGUGCUGUAUGGGGAGCAACAAAACUUGAACGAGAAGACAAACUCCUUGGAGCAACUCAUGAAUCAACUGGAACAAAAAUAUAGAAGCAGUAGCAGCAAUAUCAGUGGCAAUAUAAUAACUACAACCCGUAAUAUGAAAUCUGCUUUGAAGUGAAUAAAAAUUUGGAGCAGCAGACAAAUCACAGAAUAAAAUGUGAAAAUGCAAUGUUGCAUUUUCAAGACUACUAUUUGCUAAAUCUUGUAUGAAAGAUUCUUUCGAUAAUUAAUCUACGUGCGAUCGUAAUUAUUAAUAUUUUUUUAGUUUCAAUUUCGGGAGUGCCGUAUAAAGUGUUACAUGAACCUAAUAGCAUAUUUAGUCUAAUUAGCAAAUAAUUGUGUUCUUUUCAUGUUUUUGAGUGAAAUUAUUGUCUAGCAAAGGGAGACAAUCAUUAUCCCUUAUGUCAGAUGGGUGAACGCAUUUGUAUUGACUAAAAGUUGUAAUAAUUUUUAUUGAAGAAAAAGAGAGUUAUUUCUCGUCAGUUUUUACAAGUUCCAUCUAGUCUAGUUUGGUGUCUCAUUGAAAGCUGAAGGUUCCGUUUGCAGGACUAAAAUUAAACAGGAGUUUUUUCGACGGUUUUCGAAACUGAUUGUGGCAAUAAAUCAACGACUAUCAUUCGAAUUCCACGGUCAAGUCGCGAAGUAUAUUAUAUAUAAUAAUAAUGUAAAUAUGACUAGAACAAAUGUUUA